rnacentral:rRNA from 1 species
UGGACAAUGGGCGAAAGCCUGAUCCAGCAAUGCCGCGUGAGUGAUGAAGGCCUUAGGGUUGUAAAGCUCUUUUACCCGGGAUGAUAAUGACAGUACCGGGAGAAUAAGCUCCGGCUAACUCCGUGCCAGCAGCCGCGGUAAU